CAGCUGUGCAGGUUUGUAGCCUAGGAGCAAUAGGCUAUACCAUAUGGCUCAGGUGUGUAGUAGGCUAUUCCAUCUAGGUUUGUAUAAGUACGCUCCACUAUGUUUGCACAAUGACAAAAUCUCCUGAGGACACAUUUCUUAGAAUGUACCUUAGUCAUUAAGCAACACAUAACUUUAGUAUAAGAGAAUGUUUGGCAUCUUGUGAAAUCUUAAUAAGCAGCCAUUACAACUUUCACAUAUUAGAGAGUUACCUGGGAGGAUUUUGAUGAAUUACUCUAACAAGAAGACUACAAAAUGCAAUGGCUUCAACAAAGUAGAGACAGAGUCUCAGUCUGCCGCUCAGGCUGCAGUGCAAUAGUGCAAUCACAGAUUAUGGAAGCAUUGAUCUCCCAGGCUGAAGUGAGCCUCCAGGCUCAAGCAAUCUUCCUGCCUCAGUCUCGUGAGUAGUUGGAACUACACCUACACACCACCAAGCCCUGAGGACUCGCUAUAUUGCCCAGGAUUUCCUCUGUCUGGUUUUGACAUUCCACGAGCAACUUACCAAAGGACUGACAGUUGUUGAACAUGAUGCUAACAGAAGCUAACAGAAUUUUCACAUUGACUUGAGCUGAAAACAAAACAUACAAAAAAAAAAAAAAAACUGAAUUUAUUGUUUUGCUAUCAGUGUCAAACUUUUUUGUAUUUUCAUUACUAAAAAAGUUAUAAGUUGACUUAUUUUAUUCUCAUUGUUAUGGUUUUAAUGUUAACACAUAUGCUUAAAGGAAACAUCAC
rnacentral:lncRNA from 10 species